rnacentral:rRNA from 1 species
AGUGAACGCUGGCGGUAGGCCUAACACAUGCAAGUCGAACGGCAGCACAGUAAGAGCUUGCUCUUACGGGUGGCGAGUGGCGGACGGGUGAGGAAUACAUCGGAAUCUACUUUUUCGUGGGGGAUAACGUAGGGAAACUUACGCUAAUACCGCAUACGACCUACGGGUGCAAGCAGGGGCUCUUCGGACCUUGCUCGAUUGAAUGAGCCGAUGUCGGAUUAGCUAGUUGGCGGGGUAAAGGCCCACCAAGGCGACGAUCCGUAGCUGGUCUGAGAGGAUGAUCAGCCACACUGGAACUGAGACACGGUCCAGACUCCUACGGGAGGCAGCAGUGGGGAAUAUUGGACAAUGGGCGCAAGCCUGAUCCAGCCAUACCGCGUGGGUGAAGAAGGACUUCGGGUUGUAAAGCCCUUUUGUUGGGAAAGAAAAGCAGAAGGUUAAUACCCCGCUGUUCUGAAGGUACCCAAAGAAUAAGCACCGGCUAACUUCGUG